UCGGGUAUGGUGUAACGGCUAACAUUGCCGCCUUUCAUGAAGUAACAUGUCCGCGGCAGCUCGGGGUUCGAUUCCCCGUACCCGAA